rnacentral:lncRNA from 1 species
CCCGUGUGUACUCCUGCGUCUUGGCUUGUCACAAUGAGUAUGUGUUACUUUUUUAAUCUGAGGGAGAAAAGGAAAAAAUGGCUCCUCAGUGUGGCUGGUGCUGGCUGCAUCUCUGGUGCCCUGGGGGAGUUUGGAGCGUUUUCUGGAUUCUGUCCGAGGCCUUUGAGGUGCGUUGGCUUAGCUGCGAAAAGAGACACAUUCGUUCUCCGAGAAGCCUGCUCCGCUGACGGCUGGGUGAUGUGCCGUUUUUCUCCUGUUGGACGCGCCGUGGGCCGGAACACCGACUUUGUGCUUCCUCCUUUUUUUUUCUCUCUGAAGUCUAAGUUUGGGAGCUCAGGAUCCAAAAACGAUGACACUGGGACAUUCCAUUCGGAAGGCACGCUUUGUCCACUCGGCCACUUGCAGUGGGGAAUGGUUUUGAGCAGGGGUGUGAUGUGACCGGCAGACCCCUGUGUGGAGACCGAGGUGGCUUCCGGAGGCUGGUGGCUGGGAGAGCAGGGAGGAGGCUGCUGCAGUGGUCUGAGCACCAGUGACGGGACGGCGUGGAUGGCCACUGUGGGAUACAGAGGACAAGGGGCACAUGCGAGACUCCUAGGCCGGAAGAUGAUGCGGCCACCAGCCCCUGCCUGUCUUUGCUCUCUUCUCUUUCUGCCAUAAAUAAAAAUAGCUGUGGGCUGUCACCUUGCCUUCUGCCUUUGUCUGUCAUCCCUCCCUCUGCGUGCUGAGGAUAAUUCUGACUUUUCCUUCACCUGCUCGCUGACACCUUGUCACUCUCUCCUCCCACCUUCAAAUAUGCUCGGAUCCCGUUUUUAUCAUGUAACACACGGGUUUGUCCUUGGGACCCAGUUUCCUAUCUUUCCACCAGGGAUCUUGAGUUUCCUCGGGACGGAGACCUUGUACAACUCUGGACGUUUUCCCAUCUCCCAUGUCAGACGGGCUGUGCCAACCACACCUUUGAUCGAGUAAUCACAGGGAGAAUGAUUAAUGUCUGUGGAGCGUCUUCCUGAGGGCUUGGGUCUCGGUGGCUGCCGGUACCCUCCAUUUCCUUGAAGAAACGAGGAAGCUUUGCCCGGAGAGGUCACGUGGUUCCCCCGUCACACAGCUGGUACGCAGUGGAGGCAGAGCCUGAACUCAGAGCCCUGUUCUCUAAAUCCCGACCUGUCUGCCCUGGGCAGGUGUUUCCAGGUGUGGGCUGAACCAGAUGACGUGUUUCAAGGGGCCCGGCUGACACAGCGUUCACUGACAGCGAAUCACCCAAGAGGAUGAUUCUUCUCGUCCCACGUUUAGUCAUAUUGCAAGGGGACAUCUCAAGCUAGUAGGUCAGACAAACCUCAACAUUUUUUAUUGCGAUGAGAUGUAUGGAAAAUUAACCAUUUAAACUAUUUUGAAGUGUACAGUUACACAGUCCCUGUCCCAGGGACUCUCUUCCCCAGCCUCAACUGCCUUCUGGAAUCUGGCAAAUGUCUCCACCGUCUGUCACCAGAACCUCGUCUUCUUCUCACACUGAGCUUCUGACCCCAGUAGACGCGAAACCCCCUUCCGCAGCCCUGGCCUCUCUCUGCUUUCUGUCUCUGUGAGUUGGUCCAGUCCGGAGACGAACCGACCCUGCUGACGGGCUCAGAGCCUGGAGCAGGCCAGUGCCGAGAAUGGAACGAAGCAGUAUUGGUUUUGUUUUCAUUGUGUGGCUCCAUAACCCCUUAUCUUAAAACCCUUGAGAUUAGCGUGUUUCUUUUUUUCUUUUUUCCUUUUCUUGGAGACAGAAUCUCCCUCUGUUGCCCAGGCUGGAGUGCAGUGGCGCAGUCCUAGCUCACUGCAGUCUUGACCUCCCCGUCUUAAGUGAUCCUCCCACCUUAGCCUCCUGCGUAGCUGAGGCCACAGGCGUGUGCCCCCGCACCCGGCUGUUUUGCUUUUUUUUAAAAGCCAUGGCCUCCCUAUGUUGCCCAGGCUGGGUUUGAACUCCUGGGCUCAGAUGAUCCUUGCCGCUCUGUUUCUCUUUUUUUUUUUUGACUUCAGAAAGUGAACAUGAU